UUUGUUUGUUGGGCUUGCUUUAGAAUCUGAACAGUCUAACCAGGCUGCUGGAGUCCAGUCGUCACUCUCCACGCCUCUUUUCCCCUCCUCAUCCCUUUGUUCUGCCACCAUUGUCUUCCUUUUGACUCGAUUCCAAGACAGAGACGACCUGAUCCGGUAGGCUUGUGGCGAUAGAGGUGGCAGGGGAAGCCGACGGAGGGAAUGUAAGCAGAGAUACCAAUCAUCAAAAUUCAGAGAGCAACAACAUCAACGAAGACCUGGACCAAACUUUUCAUGGCAAUGUUUCUGAAGUUCAGUCCUCUAACAUUGAUUUAACAAAAACAGAUGCAUCAGAUGGCAUGUUGCUUGAUGGUAUCAGAAAAAUGCUGCAAAAGAGUGAUGAAAGGAAACAAAGGAGAAUGUUUUGAAGGAGCAAAGCAGGAAGAGGUCAAGGGCUCAGAUGGGAACAACCCCAGAAUGUUUGCAUAAAGGAAGAGCAAGAAAAAGAACGCCCACUUUUCCCUAUCUUUUUUUGGCAAGCUUGUUUGACAAGAAAAGUGCCCAGACCUGGACUGGCACAAGGCCAACAUCUGUUCCCAAUCCUUUUCUUUACAACAAACAAACAACUAUCCCCGCGAAAAAAAAACAACUAAGCCCACAAACACAACGCCCAGGCCCAGGAAAGUGGGGGGUGGGGGAGGGUCACGGGUGCAGCCCAGACUUGGAAGCGACAAACAAAAUGACGAGGCCCAGAGGAAGCGCAGGGUGACAAACAAUCGACGAGAGAACAAACAGAACGAUCGGGAGCACAACAGGGAGUGACGUCAUCUUAUAUGUUUGAUAAUUAUGUCACAUCUAAAUAUGUCUUACACAUACCCAUUAAAAAAAGCCUGAGCCUACC